AAAUAUCAGCGGUCAGAAAACUAGCCUUGUAAGCCAGGGGUCCCGGGUUCAAUUCCCGGU
rnacentral:tRNA from 1 species